AGAGAGAGACAUGCGCGCAUAUCAAUAAGCGGAGGAAAAGAAACUAACUAGGAUUCCCUCAGUAACGGCGAGUGAAGCGGGAAGAGCUCAAAUUUGAAAUCUUCAAGGUUCUACCUUGACGAAUUGUAGUUUAAAGAAGUGUUUUCUGUUGGAGUUUUGGUAAAAGUUCUUUGGAAUAGGACAUCAUAGAGGGUGAGAAUCCCGUAUUUGACCAUUAUUUUCAGCUUUGUGAUACACUUUCAAAGAGUCGGAUUGUUUGGGAAUGCAGUCCAAAAUGGGUGGUAAAUUUCAUCUAAAGCUAAAUAUUGGCGAGAGACCGAUAGCGAACAAGUACCGUGAGGGAAAGAUGAAAAGAACUUUGAAAAGAGAGUUAAACAGUACGUGAAAUUGUCAAAAGGGAAGCGUUUGACACCAGUGUUGUUUUCUCGAAAAUCAAUUAAAAAAGGCAGGAUUUUGUGUUGUAUUGACUUUAUCAGCUUUCUGCACUCUUUUCUUGUCUUUUUUAAUGCACUUUUCGUUUAACAAGUCAACAUCAAUUUCUUUUGUUGUAAAAGGGUCAUUGGAAGGUGGCUUUCUUUUCGGAGAAAGUGUUUAUAGCCUCUGGCCUCUGCAAUCGGAGAGAUUGAGGUCUGCAGCGUAGAUCCUUCGGGGUUAGAUACAUUUGUGCUAAGUUAUAGCCUUUCAUAGACAACUUGUUGACUAUGAUCAGUCAUGUAGCUUACUCGCUUAUGCUAUUUUACCUACGCUUAGGAUGUUGAUGUGAUACUGCGAGCA
rnacentral:rRNA from 1 species